rnacentral:rRNA from 1 species
UGGGGAAUCUUGCGCAAUGGGCGAAAGCCUGACGCAGCCAUGCCGCGUGAGUGAUGAAGGCCUUAGGGUUGUAAAACUCUUUCACCGGGGACGAUAAUGACGGUACCCGGAGAAGAAGCCCCGGCUAACUUCGUGCCAGCAGCCGCGGUAAUACGAAGGGGGCUAGCGUUGCUCGGAAUUACUGGGCGUAAAGGGCGCGUAGGCGGAUCAGCAAGUUGGGGGUGAAAGCCCGGGGCUCAACCUCGGAAUUGCCUUCAAAACUGCUGAUCUAGAGUACGGGAGAGGUGUGUGGAACUCCGAGUGUAGAGGUGAAAUUCGUAGAUAUCGGAAGAACACCAGUGGCGAAGGCGACACACUGGCCCGUUACUGACGCUGAGGCGCGAAAGCGUGGGGAGCAAACAGGAUUAGAUACCCUGGUAGUCCACGCUGUAAACGAUGAUUGCUAGUUGUCGGCAGGCAUGCCUGUCGGUGACNCAGCUAACGCAUUAAGCAAUCCGCCUGGGGAGUACGGUCGCAAGAUUAAAAACUUAAAUGAAUUGACGGGGUCAUAGCUGUUU